rnacentral:rRNA from 1 species
CUACGGGCUGCUCCAGUGAGGAAUAUUGCACAAUGGAGGAAACUCUGAUGCAGCAACGCCGCGUGGAGGAUGACGCAUUUCGGUGUGUAAACUCCUUUUAAGAGGGAAGAUUAUGACGGUACCUCUUGAAUAAGCACCGGCUAACUCCGUGCCAGCAGCCGCGGUAAUACGGAGGGUGCAAGCGUUACUCGGAAUCACUGGGCGGAAAGGGUGCGUAGGCUGGCUUCUAAGUCAGAUGUGAAAUCCAAUGGCUUAACCAUUGAACUGCAUUUGAAACUGGAAGCCUAGAGUUCAGAAGGGGCAGAUGGAAUUAGUGGUGUAGGGGUAAAAUCCGUAGAUAUCACUAGGAAUAUCAAAAGCGAAGGCGAUCUGCUGGGAUGAUACUGACGCUGAGGCACGAAAGCGUGGGGAGCAAACAGGAUUAGAUACCCCGGUAGUC